rnacentral:rRNA from 1 species
GGGGGGUGCGAGCGUUGUCCGGAAUCACUGGGCGUAAAGGGCGCGUAGGUGGUUUGAUAAGGGUGUGGUGAAAGUCCGGGGCUCAACCCCGGAUCUGCCGUGCCGACUGUCAAACUCGAGGACUGUAGAGGCAGACGGAACUCCGGGUGUAGCGGUGGAAUGCGUAGAGAUCCGGAGGAAGACCGGUGGCGAAGGCGGUCUGCUGGGCAGUUUCUGACACUGAGGCGCGACAGCGUGGGGAGCAAACAGGAUUAGAUACCCUGGUAGUCCACGCCGUAAACGAUGGGUACUAGGUGCCUGGGGGAGCGACCCUCUGGGUGCCGGCGCUAACGCAGGAAGUACCCCGCCUGGGGAGUACGACCGCAAGGUUG